CGUUGAAACGCCGGUUGCCAUAGGAUCACCGAUGUUAAGCAACGUCGAGCUGGUCAGCACCUAGAUGAGAGACCACUUGGGAAUACCAGGUACUGUAA